rnacentral:rRNA from 1 species
UGAGGAAUAUUGCGCAAUGGCCGAAAGGCUGACGCAGCGACGCCGCGUGGAGGAUGAAGUCCGUUAGGAUGUAAACUCCUUUUGUAGGGGAUGAAUAGUCCCGAUUUAUCGGGAUUUGACCGUACCCUGCGAAUAAGGAUCGGCUAACUACGUG